rnacentral:rRNA from 1 species
UUCUGCCCCCAGAACACAUCUGUGCUAGUUCUUAUCUUUAUCCGCAUCCUCGCCGGCGCGGCACACAACUCCUGUCCCCCACUGCAAACCAUUUGUUUCUCACCGAUGCGAGUGUCUCCCCGGAUUUGUGGUCAGCCAGCCACAGCGGCGCACGGCGUUGACUACUCCGAGCUGCCAGUGCGGCCGCACAAAUCUGCUUCCUCGCGCCGGAGUUAGUGUUGUGCUGCCACCGCCGGCAACAAGGCGGACAACCUUUUUGGUGUUGCAAUCAGUUGCGCCCUUCGACGGCGGAGUUGCAUCCGUGCACGCCGGAGCUGCAACCGGCGUUUUUGGGAGCUGCAAGGCAAAUAGAGGAUUCACAAACCCUCGAAGCACUCGCCAUAAGGGAAGCCUUGGCGCUCUAUAUUUGCGGCGAAUCCAUGUGGCAUCGGACUGCAAAGUGGUGGUUGAAGACAUGAAGAGGGAUAAUGUGGCAGGCUAUGAAGCGAUCAUACAUGAAAUAGUAGACCAUUCUGCGGCUUUUGAAUUUCGUAAUUUUAGUCAUGAAUUUAGGAGCUCAAACUGUGAAGCUCACAAUUUAGCGAAGCAUGCUCUUUUUCUCGGGGACGGUUGCCGUGUUUGGUUAGGACAUCCUAAAGAUCUUCCAUCCAUCUCUGUAAACAUUGUGACGAAUUAAUAAAAGCUUCGCGAGGUUGUCUCAAAAAAUGUACAACUCAUGUUACCCUAG